rnacentral:rRNA from 1 species
UACGGAGGGUGCAAGCGUUAUCCGGAUUCACUGGGUUUAAAGGGAGCGUAGGCGGCCUUAUAAGUCAGUGGUGAAAUCUCGUUGCUUAACAACGAACGUGCCAUUGAUACUGUAGGGCUUGAGUACAGAUGCCGUUGGCGGAAUGUGUCACGUAGCGGUGAAAUGCAUAGAUAUGACACAGAACACCGAUUGCGAAGGCAGCUGACGAAACUGUAACUGACGCUGAGGCUCGAAAGCGUGGGGAUCAAACAGG